rnacentral:rRNA from 1 species
AAUGAACGCUGGCGGCAUGCCUAAUACAUGCAAGUCGAGCGAGCGCACGGGAAGUUUUCGUCUCUGAUGUUAUCGGCGGACGGGUGAUUAACACGUGUAUAACCUACCUAUACGACUGGGGUAACUUCACGGGACCAUGUCUAAUACCCGAUAAUAUUUUGAACUUCAUUGUUCAAGAGUUAAAGACGCUCUUGCUGUCGCUUAUAGAUUAAUCCGCGCAGCAUUAGCUAGUUGGUAAGGUAACGGCUUACCAAGGCAACGAUGGAUAGCCGACCUGAAAGGGUGAUUGGCCACCCUGGAACUGAGGCGCGGCACAGACUCCGACGGGAGGAAGCAGUAGGGAAUCUUACGCAAUGGGCGAAAGCCUGAUGGAGGAAAGCCGCGUGAGUGAUGAAGGUCUUAGGACCGUAAAACUAUGUUAUUAGGGAAGAAGAAAUGUGUAAGUACCUGUGAACAUAUUGACGGUACCUAAUGAGAAAGCCCCGGCUAACUCCGUG